rnacentral:rRNA from 1 species
AUGGAAUUGCGAAAAAAGCUGAAAGAACACUACAAGAUCAAAAUCCACUACAAGAGAGUCUAUAUGGGUAAGCUGCUAGCCUUGAAGCAACUAUACGGUGAUUGGGAUAGUAGUUUUAACAACUUGUAUAGGUUUAAAGCACAAGUUGAAAGUUGCUGCCCUAAUAGCAUAGUGCAGAUCGACCUUCAUACCAUAAAUGGUAAAAUAAGGUUUAGAAGAAUUUUUGUUGCUCUCAAACCUUGCAUAGAUGGAUUUCUUAGUGGCUGCAGGCCAUAUUUGGCUGUGGACAGCACCUUUAUGACAGGCAGAUUCAAGGGGCAAUUGGCUAGUGCUACUGCAGUGGAUGGCCAUAAUUGGAUGUAUCCAGUUUGUUUUGGAAUUUUUGACUCUGAAACAAAUGAAAAUUGGAUCUGGUUCAUGCAAUUGCUAAGACAGGCCAUAGGAUCACCAACAGGUUUAGCCAUAUGCACUGAUGCUGGCCAAGCAGUGAUGACAGGGGUAAAAGAAGUGUUCCCGGAGGCAGAACAUAGAGAAUGUAUGUUCCACUUGGUGAGCAACUUCAAGAAGAAGUUUACUGGAAAAGUAUUUGAUGACCACCUAUGGGCAGCUGCUUACUCAUGGAACCCAUAUAUAUUUGACAAGAAUUGGGCUGCAAUGGAGGCAGUAAAGCCAGCCGCAACAGCAUAUAUUAGGAAGUGGCACAAUAGGUUGUGGUCUAGGAGUCAGUUCUCGACCAGAUGA